AUUUCAGCUUUGAAGAUUCUCUGUUUGACUUUGGCUGUGGUCAUCUGAUUUUGAUAAGCCUACAUUUGGAUAUUUUUCAGAUAAUUGCACUUGGGAGAUCAUUGAACUUUUUGAUUGUGUGAUUUAGUGUUUCUCUUUAAAAUGAAAUUUGAGAGCAAGAAUAUGGAGUUGGGGAUAUCCCACUCAUCUCCUUCCAAAGAAACAAGCAUUUGGCAGCCUUUCACAGAAAAAAAGCACAGUUGUGAGUGCACUGGAAUUCAGGUCAGAGGUAGCAAACCUCAGGAUAGCCCAAGAAUGAAGACGGCUGCUUUAAAUACUUAUUAUAUUGGGUAAUGACAGAAGAAAGCCACUGUACUAGAAAGGGCGUAGCCCAGACUUGCUGUAAGAGGGUGAUUUAUGCACCAGUCCAUAGGCUGACACUGAUGACCAAGGACACCUGGGGCUGAGCUGUACACCCAGGGAAGCAGGGCCCAGGCAGCCUGCCAUGAGAUCGUGCUCCAAGGACCGGCCGUUCUGCUGGACCCACGGGCUCCUGGUAUUCAUCAGCCUGCUCCUCAGUGUCUGCAGCUCUGCAGCCAACACUUCCGGAGCGCAUGGCUCUGCUGUGAAGGAUUCUGAAAACCACAUUUAUCUGAAGCGCAUCCGAGGAGGUUCUGUCUUGUUUAAUGUGACCGAGAAGCCCAUGGCAGAUGCAGGAGCCAAAAUACAGGAGGUUUUAUGGGGUUUGGGCACUCCGUCAAAGUACAUGCGGCUGCUGCAAGUCCGUAGAGGAGCCGACUCUCCCACCUGGUUUAACCUCCAGGACAAGUUCAAGCAGAGGGUCCAUGUGCCCAGCCUGUGGUCUCUGAGGAUUGAGAACCUGGCCCCUGAAGACAGUGGGCCAUACGUGGCCAUGACCAGCUUAACUGAUGGACAAACGCUUGGUCACGUUUUCUACCUGACUGUCUAUGAGCCUGUGCCUCACCCUGAGAUCCUGGCCAAGUCACUGUCUAUCACACCAGGCCUGUGUAACAUCACUCUGGAGUGUAGGGUUCCAGGGGCCACCCAGGAUCUGAAUGUGACUUGGGAGAGCAAGGGCCUCUUCAGAGAGCUGGAACAGAGAGACACACCAGGAUCAACCGCCAAGCUUUGGACCCUGGCUGUGAGCCUGCCCCUGAGCCAGCGGAUCGGCGAUCUCACCUGUGUGGUCAGCAACCAGGUGGAUCAGAAAGCUGCGACCUUAGACCUUGGGAAAGUCUGUGCCCAAGGUUUACACAAACAGGAUGUGACUAGACUGCUGCCAGGCAUCCUAGGGGCUUCUGUGGCUGUGCUGUUAGUCCUGGGAAGUGGGCUGUAUGUUUUGAAGACAUGUCAGAAGAAGAAGAAGAUGGUGAUGGAAAUAAAAAGGAGUGGAGGAUUGCAGAAGAACCAUGGGGUUGAUGAUGGUGGCAUCCCCUUUGAGACGCUCAGCCAGCAAGUGCAAGGUGAGGGCAAGGACAAGGUGAGUGCCAGGGCACUGGCCACCCUGGGAACUCCCACGUCUCUCUGCCCAGCCUUGGGCUUCCAAUUCCAGGAGCUGUCACUUCUGGUCCAACUGCCUAUUUAUCUAUAUCUGGAUAAUCAACAGUAUUGACUAAGAAAAUUUACAUCUGGGUGGAUGUAGUGCUGAACACUUUAGAGGAAUUCAUAAGCAGUGCAUGGCAGUGGGUACUGGCCCUGCGGGUCCCUGCAGAUUCAUUCCAUCCUUCAGCUGAUCCAGCAACCUCUGUGUUGUAUUUCAGAGCAUCGGUGAACAAUAUCUGGGAAAAAAGGAAUCUCUCAUUACUACCUGCAGUGAGGUCUGUUAUCCAGACCAGACGAUGGAGAUCAUUUGAUUGGAGGAAGCAGGAGGAUCUGGCACUCCCAGGACACCUGCACUCUGAGCCUAAGUCCUGCAGACCCCUGCCUUUCCCAGCUCUGAUUCAGUUCCAGCUUCCCCUUGUGUGUGUUGAAUUGUCAGAGGCUGCAGUAAAUGUACUCCCUUGGAGAGGCAUCGCUGCCAACAUUUCUGAAAGGCUAUGUCAGUACCAGUGGGGCCCCUGCAACAAUACUUGCCAUCCAGCCUGGACUUUCUUGGACCAAAUCAAUCAAUCUAUCUUUGCCAAAAUCAGAUGAAAUGUCAACUCCAACCUUGCCUUGCAUCAAAAGCCUUGGUAUCCUGCCCAAUAUGCCUGAAACGGCAUAUACUGGGAGACUACUGUGCUGGUAGCUGGUCUCCAUAUAGCUCCCCUUUGUUUGGAGACUUUAAAUGGCUACGCUAAUGCCACUCUGGGGUUUCCCCCACCAGACAAUUGUCAACACAUACUCCAAAUCAAUAACACUACCCCCAACGAAACACAGUCUCUUUCCUACUUCAAUAGCACCUUAUACACUCUAAUUAUAGUGAAACCAUUGCUAUCCCCUGGGGGCCCUCUGGCUAUGCAGAUCCUGUGGGUGGUGAUACCUGCCUCCACAUUGGACAGGGACAUGCACUGAGGGUGGCCAUUAAUUUUAUUCAUGGUCUGGGAUAAUAUUCCCCUCCCCAGUAAUCUAGAUGCUUGCAAACCUCACUGGUUAUGAAUGUGCCAGACUCUUUUUUGGUGGGACCCUAUCACAGCAUUCUUUCCCUGCCACUGGUACAAUCCUGUUUCAGCAACAAAUUAAAAUAGUAAGCUUAUAUGUAGUAAAAGCUCUUAAUGAUAGUAGCACUAAACUUGUGUUGUCGUUGGAUGAAUUUGCUCAGCUGCAUACUGUUGCAUUGCAAAAUCGAAUGGAAUUAGAUACGUUUACCGCAGUCUGAGGAGGGGUUUGCACCUUACUGUAUACUGAAUAUUGUAUGUAUAUCCCUGACAAUUCUCACAAUAUUACCCUUCUUGCCCAAGACAUGCAAAAACAAGUAAAACAGUCAGAAUCUAACCAUCAGCAUCCCAUCAUGGACUGACUGUCCAGCUGGCAUUGGCACUGGCCAUGGUAGGUGUGGAUUUUAUUAAUUAUGCUUUUAAUUUUCCUAUGCUUGUCCUGUAUGUGUAACCUAUAUCAACUAUGUAUUCCUGGUUUAUCUGUAAGGUAUUUUCCUUAUAACUGAGUACUAAAUUGAGGCCAAAUGUGGAGCAGAAGUUAAAUAUUAAAUUUAAACUCAAUUGAACAUGGACACAAACCAGAUAACUUCUAAUCUUAUGGCCUUGGGCAGUCUAGUCUACAGACAUGAAGGAAGUUUGUUUGGGAAAAAAAUAUUGAAGAAUAAUUUAUAGAAAAAAGAACUGUAUAUGGUAAAUUCUUAUCCUAAAAGUAAUUAACUGAUUUUUUUUUUUGAGACGGAGUUUUGCUCUUGUUACCCAGGCUGGAGUGCAAUGGCGCGAUCUCGGCUCACCACAACCUCCGCCUCCUGGUUUCCGGCAGUUCUCCUGCCUCAGCCUUCUGAGUAGCUGGGAUUACAGGCACGUGCCACCAUGCCCAGCUAAUUUGUUUUUUUUUUUUUUGUAUUUUCAGUAGAGAUGGGGUUUCACCAUGUUGACCAGGAUGGUCUCAAUCUCUUGACCUCAUGAUCCACCUGCCUCGGCCUCUCAAAGUGCUGGGAUGACAGGUGUGAGCCACCGCGCCCAGCCUAAUUACCUGAUUUAUUAAAAAAAAUAUACUUACAAGUCAGAAAGUUGAAGCUUGUCAAAAAUUGUCUGUAAAAGUCAUAAAAAUUUUGUAAAAAACUUUAUGCAAGAAAUGUUGUACAAUUUAAUUGUAAAAUAAAUUCUGUGUAUAAACAUAUUGGCUAAAGUUG
rnacentral:lncRNA from 13 species